ACCCGCUGAACUUAAGCAUAUCAAUAAGCGGAGGAAAAGAAACCAACAGGGAUUGCCUUAGUAACUGCGAGUGAAGCGGCAAAAGCUCAAAUUUGAAAUCUGGUGCCUUCGGCGCCCGAGUUGUAAUUCGGAGAGACAUCUUCGGAGUAGACGCCGUCCUAAGUUCCUUGGAACAGGACGUCACAGAGGGUGAGAAUCCCGUGCCUGGAUGGCUGUUCUACUUCAUGUGAAGUGUCUUCGACGAGUCGAGUUGUUUGGGAAUGCAGCUCAAAAUGGGAGGUAAAUUUCUUCUAAAGCUAAAUAUUGGCGAGAGACCGAUAGCGCACAAGUAGAGUGAUCGAAAGAUGAAAAGCACUUUGAAAAGAGAGUUAAAAAGUACGUGAAAUUGUUGAAAGGGAAGCGCUUGAGACCAGACUCGACCAGUGGUGAUCAGCGGUGCUUCUGUGCCGUGCACUUGCCAUUGGUUGGGCCAGCAUCGGUUUGGACGGCGGGAUAAAGACCUAAGGAAUAUGGCUCCCUCCGGGGAGUGUUAUAGCCUUGAGUGCAAUGCCGCCAGUCUGGACCGAGGACCGCGCUUCGGCUAGGAUGCUGGCGUAAUGGUCUU
rnacentral:rRNA from 1 species